UUGAGUAUAUUCCAGAAAUAAACAAACAAACAAUACAAUUGAUACUGUUUCAUCAAUCACUAGAGAAACGAAAGGGAUAGGGAAAAAGAAAAGAAAAGAGAGAUAAACUGAUUUGGAUGAAAAGAUUGAACGAUAGAAAGGUGGAGAAGAGGGUUAAAAUUCGUGGGUGUUCAUCCAGGCGUGAAUCAACCGACAAACGGUGCAUGCUGCUAGGAGACAAAACAACGACGAAAACGAGAAGCGAGGGAGUUCGGUAAAGCAUCUGGAAGCGGAUGCUUGGAAAAACAAGCUGACUGCCGUUGAAAGGGGAUUAAAAGCAGGAAUGCAAGGAUUCCUUUAAUACAGAGCUGGCAGCUGGCUGAUGAAGAAUAAAUGUUAGAACAUCGUAACAUAAUCAGGAUGAUAGGAAACAAAUUUAAUAAGGCUAAUAAAGAUAAAUAUAUAAAUGCAAAAUGGUCGAAGGUAGAAGAUUUAUUGUUGUGCGACUGCAUCGCUACUGUACAGAGAACUGCAUUAAGGCGGUAGGAACUAUCAGAGAGGUUCUCUCUAGUUGCAACAUCGUCGGGAAACUACACCGAACAACUGUCUCGGCGUAACCGAACUCGAAUACAUCACCGUCGUAGUUUCAACCCGAAGCUUCCGGUACUUACCGAAAACUUAUCAGACAACGGAAGUGUCGUUGACUCAUAACCAUCGACUUAUUACCUCCUCAUUGCUUAAUUUUCAAAUAAAUAAUAAUGAUAUUAUUAUUAUUAUUUUUUUCCCUUACAUUAUGGAUUAGUAAAGAUCGGAUUAAGAUGGCGAAUGUCAUCUUUUUCUCUCAUUGUUAAUACAUAUUAUAAUAAUUUUUCCUUAUGCUAUCUUUGUAUUUACAAGGUAUUGAUUCUAAAAUAAAUAUAAAAAUAUAUAUAAUAUAUAAAAAUGUCGGUUGAAACU